AUUGAACGCUGGCGGCAGGCUUAACACAUGCAAGUCGAGCGGGGGAAGGUAGCGUGCUCCGGGACCUGGCGGCGGACGGGUGAGUAAUGCUUAGGAAUAUGCCUGUUAGGGGGGGACAACAUCUCGAAAGGAAUGCUAAUACCGCAUACGUCCUACGGGAGAAAGCAGCGGAUCUUCGGACCGUGCGCGAGUAGAUGAGCCUUAGUCGGAUUGGCUAGUUGGUGGGGUAAAGGCCUACCAAGGCGACGAUCUGUAGCGGGUCUGAGAGGAUGAUCCGCCACACUGGGACUGGGACACGGCCCAGACUCAUACGGGAGGCAGCAGUGGGGAAUAUUGGACAAUGGGGGGAACCCUGAUCCAGCCAUGCCGCGUGUGUGAAGAAGGCCUUAUGGUUGUAAAGCACUUUAAGCGAGGAGGAGGCUACUUUAGUUAAUACCUAGAGAUAGUGGACGUUACUCGCAGAAUAAGCACCGGCUAACUCUGUGCCAGCAGCCGCGGUAA
rnacentral:rRNA from 1 species